UACGGGGGGCAGCAGUGGGGAAUAUUGCACAAUGGGCGAAAGCCUGAUGCAGCGACGCCGCGUGAGGGAUGACGGCCUUCGGGUUGUAAACCUCUUUCAGUAGGGAAGAAGCGAAAGUGACGGUACCUGCAGAAGAAGCGCCGGCUAACUACGUGCCAGCAGCCGCGGUAAUA
rnacentral:rRNA from 1 species